rnacentral:lncRNA from 1 species
UCCACUCCUGAGAUAAGUCCUCUUCAGUGAGGCUGUGUACCGCAUUAAGGUUAUUGUUGCCAUAAGAUUUUAUUGAUUUCUUCUUUUGAGAUUUUGGAUGACUGAGACUUUUAAUGAUAACUAACAUUUUGCUUUUGCACCAGUUCUGUUCAAAGGACGUAAAAGCAAUAAUUUAUUGUGAGUGCCAAGUGUUGUCACGAGUCACACUACUAUAAAAGCCUGGCAGCGCCAUUGGGUUAAACAAAGUGAGACUUAAGUCUUUAAUAGAGUAUCGCGUGCUGGUUUAAAAGUCCAUGAAAGUUUCUCGUCGCCAUUUUUGGGAAAAUAUAACCAAGUGCCGAUUGCUUAGUGAUGAUUGUUUUCUUUUUUUAUUUCCGUAUAGAGGUGUAAGCCUAGAAAGCAUAACCAGUUUACUUCAAGUUGCCAUUUCAUUUGAAAAGUUGCUUGUACUGUAUUUGUUCAAAGCUGGCAAGUUUGCAACACCUACAUAAUAUAUAUUGUAAAUAACUUUAUGAUUUUUUUUUUAUAUUAAGGAUAUUUCAGGUUCAAAGCAGUCUAUCAUUCACUUCAAGUCUGGAUGUUGAAAGCAUAAAGUAGAAGAAUCGAGAGAUUACCUUUCACGUUGGUACUCUCUGGGUUGAACUUGAAACCCAUCAAGGGUUAAAGUCGCCAUAAGAGUUUACACUGCUUGGUAAGAGGGAAGGAAAAUUAAAAAUGGCAAGAAUGGAAAGGAGAUGCCAAGGGAGGAAAACUAUAUUUUUCUUUUCGGAUUUUUGAUAGAUAUUAAUGUGAGAAUUAAAAGUGGAGCCGCAUGGGAAGGGAGGGAAUACUUUUUUUUUUUUUUUGUUUGUGUUUUUGAUCGUCUGGUUUUAUGAUCUGUGGAAUUUGUACCAUUACAAAUAAAAGUAUCUGACCGAUUGUUGAACAACAUAAAUACUUGUUGGGAGGAAGUUGUAGGAGGAUGGCAAAUAAUAAUGUUCCCUUCCAAUCGAACAGGCUGUUUAUACAUAUGUGUGCGCUUUUGCUGCCUUUUCUUUGGUCACAUUACCUCGUAAAAUAGAACUAGGAGGGGAUUAUAUUGAUGGCGAGUGCUGUCAAAUUAAGG